UCGGGGUUUCGUACGUAGCAGAGCAGCUCCCUCGCUGCGAUCUAUUGAAAGUCAGCCCUCGACACAAGGGUUUGUCUAUGAAUGGCUUUAGC